rnacentral:tRNA from 1 species
GUCUAUAGCCAAGUGGCUAAGGCAAAGGACUGCAACUCCUUGAUGCGUUGGUUCAAAUCCGACUAGGC